UACGGAGGGAGUUAGCGUUGUUCGGAAUUACUGGGCGUAAAGCGCGCGUAGGCGGCUUGGCAAGUUCGAGGUGAAAUCUCCCGGCUCAACUGGGAGGGUGCCUCGGAAACUGCCAGGCUUGAGGCAGGGAGAGGGAUGUGGAAUUCCCGGUGUAGUGGUGAAAUGCGUAGAUAUCGGGAGGAACACCAGUGGCGAAGGCGAGUCGUCUGGGAUGAUGCUGACGCUGAGGCGCGAAAGCCCAGGGGAGCGAACGGG
rnacentral:rRNA from 1 species